UUCUCGUUAAGUUAGUUUGAUGAACACGUGCUAAGGAUCGCAUGAUGAAAUCCUGACCGGGAUGUCUGCAGCUACGUCUGACUUAUGUGGAAUGGAUACUUAAAGAAUUUUUAUUGAGGCAAUCAUACAAUUCACGAUGCGAUGUGCAAUUGAACGUGGUGUUGAUUCAUUAAUAAAUGAGAGUAAAUGCUAAUGCGAUACAUAUUGUGCUGGCCAAUUUGUUAUGGAAUCUUCAAGCAGAAUCCCGAAAAGUCGUAACAAUGUAGUUCUCCUGGAUAAAACAGCCGCGUCGUUUAAGGAAUCUGCAAAC